rnacentral:rRNA from 1 species
GACGAACGCUGGCGGCGUGCCUAAUACAUGCCAGUUGAGCGCUGAAGGUUGGUACUUGUACCAACUGGAUGAGCAGCGCACGGGUGAGUAACGCGUGGGGAAUCUGCCUUUGAGCGGGGGACAACAUUUGGAAACGAAUGCUAAUACCGCAUAAAAACUUUAAACACAAGUUUUAAGUUUGAAAGAUGCAAUUGCAUCACUCAAAGAUGAUCCCGCGUUGUAUUAGCUAGUUGGUGAGGUAAAGGCUCACCAAGGCGAUGAUACAUAGCCGACCUGAUAGGAUGAUCGGCCACAUUGAGACGGUGACACGGCCCAAACGCCUACGGGAGGCAGCAGUAGUGAAACUGCGGCAAUGGACGAAAGUCUGACCGAGCAACGCCGCGUGAGUGAAGAAGGUUUUCGGAUCGUAAAACUCUGUUGGUAGAGAAGAACGUUGGUGAGAGUGGAAAGCACAUCAAGUGACGGUAACUACCCAGAAAGGGACGGCUAACUACGUG